rnacentral:lncRNA from 1 species
AUGUUAUCGAUCACUAUGGCCCGAGUGUGGAGCAGCAUCGACCCAGAAGAGGUUUGGCUGUAUUUCAGAAUUUUCCUGCUAGCUCCAGGACCAGUUUAUUUCGGCAAAUCCACUAAUGCAAUUAAGCAAAUCCAGCUCAAUGACCAGCUACUGCAGUUGUGGCACUGCAGCGAAGACCAGCUGGAUUUCAUCCAGGUGGUGUUUGGGCGGAGGACAAUCCCCACUCCUGAUCAACAUCUGUGUGGAUGUCAUUUGCAUUCGUUCAGGUCGCUGACUGGAACCGCAUGCAGACAGACUGCUAUCUGCCUGAGGAACGAUUGUGCAUCUUUGCACUGCUUGCUGGGAAACCGGUGUGGCACUCCUCUGAUGCAGAGGUGA